CUUCUUCUGGUUAGAGGCUCCCAAGAGCAACAGGAAGGCCAGAAUAUGGGAAGCUGAUGAGGAUAGGAAACCCUUAGAAAUCAUACUGAGUCCCUGCUGAACCUCAGAGGCUGCAGGCCAACUGCUGUUCUGAAGUUCUGGACUUGCACAGCAAGCCUGUCUACUGAAUGGCCAUCACGACCCAGAUUUCACAUCUCCAGGUACCUGGGGCUGGAGCGGGGUUUCUUCCUCCCUGUUUGGGCUGCCUGGACUAAGGCUAUAGCCAGAGUCUCCUUCUCUUUAGUGACUGCCAUGUCAACAAGGCAACUGUAGACCUCCCUCAGAGGAGGCAGGUGAAAGAAGACAGCCUUUCGGGGCAACUCUCUGGCUAAUGGGAAGCACAUUGAUGAAGGAAGCCGACUGACUUGAAAAAUCCAGCACCAGCAUGCAGGCUGCCUUUAAGGCUGGAGGAUUAUGGCCACUUGCAAUUUUCUUGCUAAUUAAAGUUUUCAUAGGAAAAGCAAACACAUAUCUACACAUGUAUGUAUGAACUUGCACGCUGAUUGUAUUUCAGAAGCAGUGGGCUGAAUGCUUUGGUUGCUGGCUUU
rnacentral:lncRNA from 1 species